CCUACGGGUGGCAGCAGUCGAGAAUUUUUCACAAUGGGCGCAAGCCUGAUGGAGCGACGCCGCGUGGGGGAUGAAUGGCUUCGGCCCGUAAACCCCUGUCAUUCGCGAUCAAACCUCGUUAUUUAAAAGAUGACGAGCUGAUAGUAGCGGAAGAGGAAGGGACGGCUAACUCUGUGCCAGCAGCCGCGGUAAUACAGAGGUCCCAAGCGUUGUUCGGAUUCACUGGGCGUAAAGGGUGCGUAGGUGGUGAGGUAAGUCGGAUGUGAAAGCUCGGAGCUCAACUCCGAAAUGGCAUUGGAAACUACCUUGCUCGAGGGUUGGAGGGGGGACUGGAAUACUUGGUGUAGCAGUGAAAUGCGUAGAUAUCAAGUGGAACACCAGUGGCGAAGGCGAGUCCCUGGACAACUCCUGACACUGAGGCACGAAAGCUAGGGGAGCAAACAGGAUUAGAUACCCCAGUAGUC
rnacentral:rRNA from 1 species